rnacentral:misc_RNA from 1 species
CAGGCAGAUCAUCUCCCAUAGAAGAUGAUGAACCAUACAAACUCCUCCUUUCAGCUGCGCGAUCCCUGUAGGUAGGCUGAGAUUGCUCCUUCUGAGCAGAAGCAGAAGAAAGUGGCAUCUCAGAAAACCUCCUCUUGCCACUCCCAGUAGAUGCAGGUGGUGCGUAAGAACCCAAUGCUGAUGCAUCUGUUCUGAAGGGAGUUGCAAUUGCAGAUGUAUCUGCAUUUGUUGAUGAACCAGUAACAGGAGCGGAGAUAGAAACUAUAGUGGAUAAUCCUGAAUAUGAAGCAUCUGAUUUCGCAACACCUCGACCAGAGCCCCUUAUGACCCCCAUUAGAGUCCCCCCCGAGCUAUUACUUACAGGUCUUGGCUUGAGUGGAGACUCCAAACCAGAAUGGGCAACUGUGGUGCUUGUUAUAAUUCCAGAAGUGGACACAGCACUAUCCUUUGCAGUCAUCACAUCAGAUUUGAACUUGCUCUUUAUGGAUUGUCCAACAGAAAAAGACCUAUCAUCAGCUGAACCAGAUGGUUGAUUGUCAUCAACAGUAACACGAGUUGCUUGCCCUUCAUGACUCCUCUGCUUCCACAUUGUCAACACAUUGUUCAUUUUCUUCUUGCUAGCCAAAAGACUGCUUUUUGAAGCAAGCUUUAUCUCUUUAGACUUC